GGCUCGAUGGCGGACGGUCCGCGCCUGCACCACAUAAGUGCCAGUUCAAGUGAAUGCUGCAGAAGAUCCCCGUUCGACUCGGGGUCGAGCCA